AGCUUUCCCAUCAGAAGGCCCGGUGAGCAGAGAAAGGACAGAGAACAGUGAUUUUCGCGCAGAGGGUAGUGGAGUGGAAAACGCAUGGUCUUCGGUGUAAGAUGGCUGGAGUCCAUCCCGCCCUGCCACUUGGGAGCUGUGUGUCCCUGGGUAAGUCACCUGACCUUUCAGAGCCGUAUGUUCCACACCAACAAAAUGGUGACGCAAAUCCCUUUGAGGAUUAGAUGAACCGGAUCCAUAAAGCGCUUGAUUGUGGCGUGGGCCUGCCACGCAAGUGUCCUCCUCUACCCCUUGAAGGUGACCCAUCUGACUUUCUAAUAGUUUCCGGCAUCUGUAGUACUCUCCCAGGUGUAUGCAUGGUUGAAAGUAGAUUGCACACGAGGAUCUCAAACAGAGCUCAAAAUUAUGGGCUGAAGGUUGAUUGAAGAGGCUAUCGGCAACAACGGGAUGAGCCCAAGCUGUUUAAAAUAAAGCAUUUCCACCUAAUAAUAACUCCCUGUUGUAACCGACAGAGAAAGACUAAUUACUUGAUGUACUUUCUCUAAACCUACUGCGUGACGAACAUGAAGACAGGCUAGGGGAAGCCUGUGCUUCUGUGAUCAGGUAAAUCAGAUUCAAACCCUGGCCGGGCAACUUCUGAGCAAGUCACUUUACCGCUCUGAAGCUCAGCCUCUUCGUCUGUAAAGCAGGGGUCCCAAUACCUACCUUAGAGUAAAGAUGCCGUAAAGAGUGCGCAUAGUGGCUCCUAGGUCUAUCGCGUCCAAUACCCUGUUGGCAUACGAUACAUGUAGGUUAUUUGUUUUAUUAUAUUUUUACCUGCUCACAAAAUUGAGCUUUGUGGCUCAUUUCAUUCCUGUUGACUCUCUAGGUGAAGACAGUGGCCCCGCUAGAAGGGCUGUUCCUGCCACAAGUCAUGGAAACCUACUCGUGAGUGAGAAGCUCCAGGGAACUUGGAUUGAGGGGACUUAGUUCAAGUUUGAGCUCCUUUACUUAUAAGCUGCAUGAAAUUGAGAAAACGGCUAAACCUGCCUGCAGCUCGGCUCCCAGUGGACUCUGUCUAAGAUGACGAGUUUAGGCUGAGAGAGUCGACAGACACAAAAAUAAAUAAGUAUUAAAUACAAGGGAUUAAAUAGAUAUAUGAAAACCAUGCCGUGGGAUUUGGGAUUGAGAGCCAACCUGACCGGGGAUAUUUGGGAACAGCUUAUGUUUAUGACCCCAAAUCUUUGUCUCCAGGCUAGACUUCUUGGGUUCCAGACACUUACAUCUGUUGCUUGCUGGACAUCUCCUCCUGGACCCCUCGUAGAUGUCUCAACCUCAGCAUGUCCAACCCUGAACUCAUCAGCUUCCUAUAAAACCCGUUUCCGCAUGGAUGUCCCCUCUCUGGGCGGGUGGUUCCAAGCUGUCAGCCUAGACACCUUCCCAUUUCUGAGCCCCCAGCUAUGGUGUCCGAAUCGUG
rnacentral:lncRNA from 1 species